CGUGCCAGCAGCCGCGGUAAAACGUAGGACGCAAGCGUUAUCCGGAAUUACUGGGCGUAAAGCGCGCGCAGGCGGGUCAAUAAGUCAGCCGUGAAAGCUCCCGGCUAAACUGGGAGAGGUCGGUUGAAACUGUUGAUCUGGAGUACGGCAGAGGCAUAUGGAAUUCCGCGUGUAGUGGUGAAAUGCGUAGAUAUGCGGAGGAACACCAGUGGCGAAGGCGAUAUGCUGGGCCUGUACUGACGCUGAGGCGCGAAAGCAUGGGUAGCGAACGGGAUUAGAAACCCCGGUAGUCCAUGCCGUAAACGAUGUGUACUAGAUGUUCGUGCGCCUGCGGGUGUAUGAGUGUCGAAGCAAACGCGCUAAGUACACCGCCUGGGGAGUACGGUCGCAAGGCUAAAACUCAAAGGAAUUGACGGGGCCCGCACAAGCAGCGGAGCGUGUGGUUUAAUUCGAGGCUACGCGAAAAACCUUACCUAGGUUUGACAUCCCACGAAUGAAUGCGAAAGCAGGAAGUCCCUUCGGGGCGUGGAGACAGGUGCUGCAUGGCUGUCGUCAGCUCGUGUCGUGAGAUGUUCGGUUAAGUCCGAAAACGAGCGCAACCCCUGGGUCUAGUUACAAGUGUCUAGACCGACUGCCUACGGCAAGUAGGAGGAAGGUGGGGAUGACGUCAAGUCAGCAUGGCCUUUAUGCCUAGGGCUACACACACGCUACAAUGGCACGUACAAUGGGUCGCGAAGCCGCGAGGUGGAGCCAAUCCUCUAAAGCGUGUCGUAGUUCGGAUUGCAGGCUGCAACUCGCCUGCAUGAAGUCGGAGUUGCU
rnacentral:rRNA from 1 species